CUGAGACCUGAUGCCGAGCCGAUUGUGGCGAAGUGGAUGAUCCUAUGCUGUCGAGAAAAGCCUCUAGCGAGUUUCAUGGCGGCCCGUACCCUAAACCGACUCAGGUGGUCAGGUAGAGAAUACCGAGGCGUUCGGGUGAACUAUGGUUAAGGAACUCGGCAAAAUGCCCCCGUAACUUCGGGAGAAGGGGGGCCAUCACUGGUGAGAGGACUUGCUCCUCGAGCUGGGGGUGGCCGCAGAGACCAGCGAGAAGCGACUGUUUACUAAAAACACAGGUCCGUGCGAAGCCGUAAGGCGAUGUAUACGGACUGACGCCUGCCCGGUGCUGGAACGUUAAGGGGACCGGUUAGUCACAUUUCGGUGUGGCGAAGCUGAGAACUUAAGCGCCAGUAAACGGCGGUGGUAACUAUAACCAUCCUAAGGUAGCGAAAUUCCUUGUCGGGUAAGUUCCGACCUGCACGAAUGGCGUAACGACUUCUCGACUGUCUCAACCAUAGGCCCGGUGAAAUUGCACUACGAGUAAAGAUGCUCGUUUCGCGCAGCAGGACGGAAAGACCCCGGGACCUUUACUACAGUUUGAUAUUGGUGUUCGGUUCGGCUUGUGUAGGAUAGGUGGGAGACUUUGAAGCGGCCACGCCAGUGGUUGUGGAGUCGUCGUUGAAAUACCACUCUGGUCGUGCUGGAUGUCUAACCUGGGUCCGUGAUCCGGAUCAGGGACAGUGUCUGAUGGGUAGUUUAACUGGGGCGGUUGCCUCCUAAAGAGUAACGGAGGCGCCCAAAGGUUCCCUCAGCCUGGUUGGCAAUCAGGUGUUGAGUGUAAGUGCACAAGGGAGCUUGACUGUGAGACCGACGGGUCGAGCAGGGACGAAAGUCGGGACUAGUGAUCCGGCGGUGGCUUGUGGAAGCGCCGUCGCUCAACGGAUAAAAGGUACCCCGGGGAUAACAGGCUGAUCUUCCCCAAGAGUCCAUAUCGACGGGAUGGUUUGGCACCUCGAUGUCGGCUCGUCGCAUCCUGGGGCUGGAGUCGGUCCCAAGGGUUGGGCUGUUCGCCCAUUAAAGCGGUACGCGAGCUGGGUUUAGAACGUCGUGAGACAGUUCGGUCCCUAUCCGCUGCGCGCGCAGGAAUAUUGAGAAGGGCUGUCCCUAGUACGAGAGGACCGGGACGGACGAACCUCUGGUGUGCCAGUUGUCCUGCCAAGGGCAUGGCUGGUUGGCUACGUUCGGGAGGGAUAACCGCUGAAAGCAUCUAAGCGGGAAGCCUGCUUCGAGAUGAGUAUUCCCACCCACUUGAUGGGGUAAGGCUCCCAGUAGACGACUGGGUUGAUAGGCCGGAUGUGGAAGCCCAGUAAUGGGUGAAGCUGACUGGUACUAAUAGGCCGAGGGCUUGUCCUC
rnacentral:rRNA from 1 species